UUCUUUUAAAUACCUAACCUUUCAUUUUUGUCUGGAAUUUGUCCGGUGACCGGUUUUUUCUUAUGCCGGCGCCGAAAAUGCCACUGUGGCUGCCGGAACUGAUGAGGUGGCAGCCGGAAAUUAACAUGGUGUCACUUUUGUGACAUGUGGAAAAAAUAUAUGAAAAAAUUAAAAUAAAAAAAACAUGUGGAAAAGAAAAGAAAAAUUCUCCCCUCCCCCCAUCGUCUUUUCCCCCUUCCCCCGCUCCCCC
rnacentral:lncRNA from 1 species